GUGGGGAAUUUUGGACAAUGGGCGCAAGCCUGAUCCAGCAAUGCCGCGUGCAGGAAGAAGGCCUUCGGGUUGUAAACUGCUUUUGUACGGAACGAAACGGUCCGGGUUAAUACCCUGGGCUAAUGACGGUACCGUAAGAAUAAGCACCGGCUAACUACGUGCCAGCAGCCGCGGUAAUACGUAGGGUGCGAGCGUUAAUCGGAAUUACUGGGCGUAAAGCGUGCGCAGGCGGUGCUGUAAGACAGGCGUGAAAUCCCCGGGCUCAACCUGGGAAUUGCGCUUGUGACUGCAGUGCUGGAGUACGGCAGAGGGGGAUGGAAUUCCGCGUGUAGCAGUGAAAUGCGUAGAUAUGCGGAGGAACACCGAUGGCGAAGGCAGUCCCCUGGGCCUGUACUGACGCUCAUGCACGAAAGCGUGGGGAGCAAACAGGAUUAGAUACCCUUGUAGUCC
rnacentral:rRNA from 1 species